rnacentral:rRNA from 1 species
ACACGUGCUACAAUGGCGCAUACAAAGAGAAGCGACCUCGCGAGAGCAAGCGGACCUCAUAAAGUGCGUCGUAGUCCGGAUUGGAGUCUGCAACUCGACUCCAUGAAGUCGGAAUCGCUAGUAAUCGUGGAUCAGAAUGCCACGGUGAAUACGUUCCCGGGCCUUGUACACACCGCCCGUCACACCAUGGGAGUGGGUUGCAAAAGAAGUAGGUAGCUUAACCUUCGGGAGGGCGCUUACCACUUUGUGAUUCAUGACUGGGGUGAAGUCGUAACAAGGUAACCGUAGGGGAACCUGCGGUUGGAUCACCUCCUUACCUGAAAGAAGC